AACGUACGCUGGCGGCACGCCUAACACAUGCAAGUCGAACGAAGUAGCAAUACUUAGUGGCAGACGGGUGAGUAACAUGUAGGUAUCUGCCCUUUGGCCUGGAAUAACACGAGGAAACUUGUGCUAAUACCGGAUAAGUCUUUACAGAGAAAGCUUUAUGCACCAUUGGAUGAGCCUGCACUUGAUUAGUUUGUUGGUGGGGUAAUGGCCUACCAAGACUGUGAUCAAUAGCUGAUUUGAGAGGAUGAUCAGCCACAUUGGGACUGAGACACGGCCCAAACUCCUACGGGAGGCAGCAGUGGGGAAUCUUGCACAAUGGAGGAAACUCUGAUGCAGCGAUGCCGCGUGAGUGAAGAAGGCCCUUGGGUUGUAAAGCUCUUUCGUCGGGGAAGAAAAUGACUGUACCCGAAUAAGAAGGUCCGGCUAACUUCGUGCCAGCAGCCGCGGUAAUACGAAGGGACCUAGCGUAGUUCGGAAUUACUGGGCUUAAAGAGUUCGUAGGUGGUUGAAAAAGUUAGUGGUGAAAUCCCAGAGCUUAACUCUGGAACUGCCAUUAAAACUUUUCAGCUAGAGUAUGAUAGAGGAAAGCAGAAUUUCUAGUGUAGAGGUGAAAUUCGUAGAUAUUAGAAAGAAUACCAAUUGCGAAGGCAGCUUUCUGGAUCAUUACUGACACUGAGGAACGAAAGCAUGGGUAGCGAAGAGGAUUAGAUACCCUCGUAGUCCAUGCCGUAAACGAUGUGUGUUAGACGUUGGAAAUUUAUUUUCAGUGUCGCAGGGAAACCGAUAAACACACCGCCUGGGGAGUACGACCGCAAGGUUAAAACUCAAAUGAAUUGACGGGGACCCGCACAAGUAGUGGAGCAUGUGGUUUAAUUCGAAGAUACGCGCAGAACCUUACCAACACUUGACAUGUUCGUCGCGACUCUAAGAGAUUAGAGUUUUCGGUUCGGCCGGACGAAACACAGGUGCUGCAUGGCUGUCGUCAGCUCGUGUCGUGAGAUGUUGGGUUAAGUCCCGCAACGAGCGCAACCCCCACUUUUAGUUGCCAUCAUUAAGUUGGGCACUCUGAAAGAACUGCCAGUGAUAAGCUGGAGGAAGGUGGGGAUGACGUCAAGUCCUCAUGGCCCUUACGUGUUGGGCUACACACGUGCUACAAUGGUAUCUACAAACAGGAAGCAAGACUGCGAAGUUAAGCAAAAUCCCUAAAAGAUACCUCAAGUUUCGGAUUGCGCUCUGCAACUCGAGUGCAUGAAAGCUGGAAUUACUAGUAAUCGUGGAUCAGCGUGCCACGGUGAAUGCGUUCCCGGGUCU
rnacentral:rRNA from 1 species